rnacentral:rRNA from 1 species
CCCGAAGUCGGUGGAGUAACCGUAAGGAGCUAGCCGCCUAAGGUGGGACAGAUGAUUGGGGUGAAGUCGUAACAAGGUAGCCGUAUCGGAAGGUGCGGCUGGAUCACCUCCUUUCUAAGGA